rnacentral:rRNA from 1 species
GACGAACGCUGGCGGCGUGCUUAACACAUGCAAGUCGAGCGGUAAGGCCUUUCGGGGUACACGAGCGGCGAACGGGUGAGUAACACGUGGGUGAUCUGCCCUGCACUUCGGGAUAAGCCUGGGAAACUGGGUCUAAUACCGGAUAUGACCUCCUAUCGCAUGGUGGGUGGUGGAAAGAUUUAUCGGUGCAGGAUGGGCCCGCGGCCUAUCAGCUUGUUGGUGGGGUAAUGGCCUACCAAGGCGACGACGGGUAGCCGACCUGAGAGGGUGACCGGCCACACUGGGACUGAGACACGGCCCAGACUCCUACGGGAGGCAGCAGUGGGGAAUAUUGCACAAUGGGCGAAAGCCUGAUGCAGCGACGCCUCGUGAGGGAUGACGGCCUUCGGGUUGUAAACCUCUUUCAGCAGGGACGAAGCGCAAGUGACGGUACCUGCAGAAGAAGCACCGGCUAACUACGUG